rnacentral:rRNA from 1 species
GACAGAGGGGGCAAGCGUUGCUCGGAAUUACUGGGCGUAAAGGGCGCGUAGGCGGAAUGGCAAGUCGGUCGUGAAAUCCUUCGGCUCAACCGAAGAACGUCGAUCGAAACUGCCGUUCUUGGAGGAUUGCAGAGGAGACUGGAAUUCCCGGUGUAGCGGUGAAAUGUGUAGAGAUCGGGAGGAACACCGGUGGCGAAGGCGGGUCUCUGGGCAGUAACUGACGCUGAGGAGCGAAAGCGUGGGGAGCGAACAGG